UCGCUUACAGAUGGGCCCGCGGUGCAUUAGCUAGUUGGUAGGGUAAUGGCCUACCAAGGCAACGAUGCAUAGCCGACCUGAGAGGGUGAUCGGCCACACUGGGACUGAGACACGGCCCAGACUCCUACGGGAGGCAGCAGUAGGGAAUCUUCCGCAAUGGACGAAAGUCUGACGGAGCAACGCCGCGUGUAUGAAGAAGGUUUUCGGAUCGUAAAGUACUGUUGUUAGAGAAGAACAAGGAUAAGAGUAACUGCUUGUCCCUUGACGGUAUCUAACCAGAAAGCCACGGCUAACUACGUGCCAGCAGCCGCGGUAAUACGUAGGUGGCAAGCGUUGUCCGGAUUUAUUGGGCGUAAAGCGCGCGCAGGCGGUCUUUUAAGUCUGAUGUGAAAGCCCCCGGCUUAACCGGGGAGGGUCAUU
rnacentral:rRNA from 1 species